rnacentral:lncRNA from 1 species
GGGAAGGUGCCAGCGCGGGGGUUUGCACGGCGGGGGGGCGGUGCUCUCUAGGGGCCAGUUUCUCUCGGGCGUCUCCGUGAAGCCUCCGUGAAGAGGCAAACACGAGGGGCUACGUUUACGGGAAGCUUGAAGUCAUAAGGGUGUUCUAGUGGUGAGAGAGUUUGUUUUCUCUAGAAACGCGUUGAAAAAAAAAUCAGCUUACUUUAUGUAAUUCAUCCGAGUAACACUUCCUGCCUCUCCGCCCCGGAGUUGUUCGCCGAAAAGUAGUAUGUAAACAAGAAGUGGACUCUUUUUUUUCCACCCCUGUGUGCCUUGAGCUAGUUUUGCGAGAUGAACACUGUAAACGAAGAAGUUAAGCCAGCAGAUGCUAAACCGGAAUCUGAAAAAUUAUUUCAUUAUUGUGAAUGAGGAGAUGUUUAGAAAGCUAAGAAUCCAGACAGUGGAGGGGGGAGUGAAGGAGAGACUCUUAAAAGGUUCAUACCACUUCUUAUUUUUAAAGAUGUAUUCAAGUAUUGUUUACAGGUAUGAUGCAUGCUACUUCUGGUCAUGUUAAUGGUGUGCUGUUAUUCUGAAUUUUGUGUGACUUGUGGUGUUUAAGCAAAUGAAAACCUUGACAGUUCUUGCUGUAAGCGUAGGUUUGUUUCCAGUUCUUACAGAUAUUUUAUAGUUGAUCAGUUAUAGCAAAACUGAUGAUAUGUUUUCAGUUUAUCCUUUCAGGUUUUUAAAGUUCCACGUAUGAGUUCUAUAAGGCCUCAGUGGCACUAUCAUGGUGCAAAGCAUAGAAAGGUAACCUUUUCCCAUAUUGUGUAUGUAUAUGCAUAUUUAGUUGUAAGAAGUCUUGUAAAAAAAUCUUUGUAAAUUCUUGUAAAAUUGAGUAAUUGAUUUUUCCAUGUCUUCAAAUGCUUAUGUGACUCACUGGUAGAUCUGUAACACCAAUUUUCUUGAAAAGUCUCAAGAAAAAAUUUUGAGGUGGUAUGGAAGCAUGGAAGUUCUCAAAUAAGUCUUUCGGUGCCUACUUCACAAAAUAUU